GACGAACGCUGGCGGCGUGCUUAACACAUGCAAGUCGAACGGAAAGGCCCUGCUCUUGCGGGGUGCACGUGUGGCGAACGGGUGAGUAACACGCGAGUAACCUGCACUUGACUUUGGGAUAUCUUCUGGAAACUGGGGCGAAUACCGCAUAGGAGCUCCUGCUGCAUGGUGGUGGAUGGUAAGUGUCGGCGGUUGGGGAUGGACUCGCGGGUUAUCAGCUGGAUGGUGUGGUAGUGGCUUACCAGGGCUACGACGGGUAGCCGGCCUGGGAGGGUGACCGGCCACAAUGGGCCUGCGAGACGGCCCAGUCUCCAACGGGACGCAACAGGGGGAAGUAUUGCGGAAUGGGCGGAAGCCUGAUGCAGCAACGCCGCGUGCGGGAUGACGUCCUUCGGGUUGUGAACCGCUUUCGCCUGUGACGAAGCGUGCGUGACGGUACUGGGUAAAGAAGCACCGGCUAACUACGUG
rnacentral:rRNA from 1 species